rnacentral:snRNA from 1 species
AGCUUUGCGCAGUGGCAUUAUCGUAGCCAAUGAGGUUAAUCCGAAGCGUGAUUAUUGCUAC